GAAUGCCGGGGAUCAUUAUGGACUCCCAGUUGUCAUUCGAUCUCCAUCUGGCUGCUGUCGCGGAAGCCGCCUUUCAUCCCUUGCCAAAAAGUGUAAAGGCUUUAAGGUGGUUCUGUUUCUGGCAGAUCUGAGCUUUAAGGCUUACGCUUAUCAUUUUCCAGGGAAUCCAGAAGUGGCAAGCAAUCAUCAAAAUGGGAAGAUCCAACCAUGGUAAUGGUCAGUGGACAGAAAGAUGCAGUCCGGAUGGAGUGUGAAACAGUCCAGAGAACAACAUCCCAGAGGGAAAGUAACGUGGCUAAAUGAAAGCCGGACUCACGGGAAAUGUAUCGCUUACAUACAUACUUUCAGUGGGUGGUGUGUCCAGAAUGCCAAAAGUCGUGAUGAAUUUUCUCCACCUGUCUGGCUUCCUGAGUCUGUAGACAAUGGUAGGGUGAAGUCUACCAUUCUACUGUUCUCCUGCACCCUUAAACAGUCUCGUUACAUGAAAACAAGUUUUGGAAAGGCAA